rnacentral:rRNA from 1 species
GACGAACGCUGGCGGCGUGCUUAACACAUGCAAGUCGAACGCUGAAGCUCAGCUUUUGUUGGGUGGAUGAGGGGCGAACGGGUGAGUAACACGUGAGGAACCUGCCCCCUUCUUUGGGAUAACGCCCGGAAACGGGUGCUAAUACUGGAUAUUCACUGGUCUUCGCAUGGGGGUUGGUGGAAAGGGUUUUUCUGGUGGGGGAUGGGCUCGCGGCCUAUCAGCUUGUUGGUGGGGUGAUGGCCUACCAAGGCUUUGACGGGUAGCCGGCCUGAGAGGGUGACCGGUCACAAUGGGACUGAGAUAGGGCGCAGACUCCUCCGGGGGGCAGCAGUGGGGCAUAUUGCACACUGGGCGAAAGGCUGAUGCAGCGACGCCGCGUGAGGGAUGGGGGCCUUCGGGUUGUGUACCUCUGUCGAGCAUGGUAAAGCCGCCACAAUGGUCGUCGUGAGGGUGGUGGGUAGAGAAGCGCGGGCUAACUACGCG